AGUAAGACUGGAAAGACAAAGACACCAAAAUGGGGAUGGUGAAGCAACCCUUAAAUUAGCAGCAGAGGAAGCCAGUGUCCCCUGCAUGGCUUCAGACAUGAAGAGAUGGAGGAACUGCCAAAACUAGAAGCCAGAGCCAUCCAGCCGGAGCCAGAGCCACAGCAGAAGUUGCCAGCAGGAGGUACAGGCCUCCCUGAACUGGAAGAAACUCUGCUGAUGAGUAUACUUUGGCCUGACUGCUUCCAGCCACAUCACUGUGAGAAAGGGGACCCAUUUCAUCUGUCCAAGAUCCGUUGGAAAGCAGAGACCUGUCUUUGAUCUGAACAAGGGUGAACACAGUGGAGCUCAAAAUCCCUGAGAGGCCUGCAAGAUCUCCAUGAGUGGUGUCUGCUUCCUCCUUAGACCCUUUCUUGCCCUGACAGCAACAUCUCUGAGAACAACAGUGUAAUACCUCAUGCGUAUUCGCACUAUGGUGCUCUGCUCUUCCCAUUCCAGUGCCCUGCUCUU